CUUUUUGCUGUGUGUGUGUGUGUGUGUGUGUGUGUGUGUGUGUGUGUGUGUGUAUCACUACUAGGACUUGAACUCAGAACCUCAAGGUCUUGAUUGGCUUUUCCCAUUCAAUGCUGCCACUCUUCCACUUGAGCCACACCUCCACUUCUAGCUUUUAUUCCUGAUUUUUCUGAUUGGGUUAGCUUAAAUGUAUGAUCUUCAGAUCUCACAUCUUGACUGACUAAGAUUACAGGCAGGAGUCACUGGCACCCAGUUUCUGCUACUGUUUAUCACCAAUAGCAUGCCUGGGGCCUGAGCAGCCUCCCUAGUGGGGAAAGGAUGAAUAGAGAAGACUACUGGAGAGAGAAUAAGCUCUUCUCCAACUUGAAGCUGAAGUUAUGUUUUACUUGCUCACCCAACUAACAACCAGGCAAAUAUCCAGGCCUGGUGUGAAAACCAUUCAUGGCGGAUUCAAUAAGUAUAGGCACUGACUCAGACAGGGCUAGUCCUUAAGAAUUGGAUGCAACUGUAGACAUUUUUCCUUCAUCAUUUUAAGCAUGGAAUGGGACAUGCAUCUCCUGUGUUUUGAGUUCCAUUGUGUGCCUGAAAUCAUACAUAAGAAAUGAACACAAUUCUGAGCAUUUGUUUAUAUUAUCUUAAAAAAAAAUCUACUCUAGCGUUUAUUGACUUGCCAAGGGUUUACAAGGUUUAAAGAGUGCAAAGAGAGAGGUACUUGGGGAAGGACUGGAGCCAACAGAGUACAAGAAGCUUUGGGAUGAGGAGGGAGACAGAGGAUAUGGGCAAGUGAAGCAGUUGGCAAUGGAGAGAAAUGAGCAAAUACAGUCAUUAUAGUCAAUUGACAUACAUAGGUGGAAAUGGAACUGGGUAAAUUGAGGAGAUGGGGGAGAAUGAUGAAAGGGUGGCAUUGGCCAAAAUGCAUUGUAUUUAAUGUUGAACUGAAAUCCCCUUGUGUAGCUACUUAAAGAGAUAUAUUUUUUUUUUUAAAAAAAAGAAAGAAACACUAUGAACCAAGUAGAAGCACUCACAGAGACCCCACACCACGCCAGUGAAAAAGGAAUACAACAGUAAUUCCUGAAGUGAAAGGUAUAGGAGAGAAUCAAUUAAAUGUUGGAACCACAUUUAGCCAUGUUUUGUUGACACUUCACCUCUGUUAGAAUGGCUCAUUCUCUCUGGCUUAGUUGUAAUAAGUAUGUUGAUGGAUGAAUGAGGAAAUGGCCAAGAGGUGUGUACCUUUCAUAAUGGUUUGAAAAUGAAAUGAGACAAUGUGUAUUUAAAAACACUCUGUGCUGUAUAACAUUCUCUUGAAUCUAGUUGAAUCUAAGGUGCACGGGGGCGGGGGGUGGGAGGGGGGGAGGUGUCCUCUAACUUAUGGAA